rnacentral:misc_RNA from 1 species
GAUGAAGAACGUAGCGAAAUGCGAUAAGUAAUGUGAAUUGCAGAAUUCAGUGAAUCAUCGAAUCUUUGAACGCACAUUGCGCCCGCCAGUGUUCUGGCGGGCAUGCCUGUUCGAGCGUCAUUUCAACCAUCAAGCCCCCGGCUUGUGUUGGGGACCUGCGGCUGCCGCAGGCCCUGAAAUGCAGUGGCGGGCUCGCUGUCACUCCGAGCGUAGUAGUUACAUCUCGCUCUGGGCGUGCUGCGGGUUCCGGCCGUUAAAAGCCUUAUUUACCCAAGGUUGACCUCGGAUCAGGUAGGAAGACCCGCUGAACUUAAGCAUAUCAAUAAGCGGAGGA